CGUUUAACGACUUCAAGCUCAGGAUCGGAAUUAACCACGGCCCGGUGAUUGCAGGAGUUAUCGGAGCCCUUAAACCCCAGUAUGACAUCUGGGGAAACAGUGUGAACGUUGCCAGCAGGAUGGAAAGCACGGGCAUGAUGGACAAGAUUCAGGUGACCGAGGAGACGCGCGAGGUGGUGGAGAACAUCGGC